rnacentral:lncRNA from 1 species
AGCACUGAUCUGAGGAGUCACUGAGAUCAUAUUUGUUAAGUGCUUAGAACAGAGUCAGGCAUAGCGUAAUAGAAAUAUUAUAGAAAUAUUUGAUGAAUGAGUGAAUGAAUGGUGUCUGUCUUGUAUUUAGGCUUUCAGUAUUUGUGGAAAGAGGGAGUUGAUGAACGCUGGGUCUAAAUGUUCCUACAUUCCACAUCCUUGAUGCUGAGCAGUCCCCAGGGGCAGCCACAGCUGCUGAAGUGGAGCAUCUCAGGCUCCGGAGAUGGGACCUGCUGCAGUCGUCAGCACAGAGAGAACUCUCCAGAACUGGAGACCCAGGAAAAAGUGCUUUUCUCCUCUUCUUUUUGUUUUAUGUUUGUUGCACAUCGAAAUCCCAGAAUCAGCUACGAGAAGGAAGGGAGUGAAGACUUUCAGAAGAAUUGGAUUUCUCACUACUGAAGUAGUAUUUCACGCAGACACUGCAUGUACAGGAGAGAAGGUACUGUUUGUCUUACUGAUAGUAAUUUGGAUGUUUGAUUUAAGUAGAGAAACCUUGUAUUGUUGCCUGUGUGUAUUACAUCACAUUACCCUGAGACUAAUCCUUAGAAACUAGAUAAAUGGAACUCCAUGUUCUGAUAAAAUGGCUUUCUAGGAGAUUAUCCCAUGAAGAUAAGAGAACCCUGCCCUGUAUACCAAAGAAGGGGUAUGUCUUACACACAC